rnacentral:tRNA from 1 species
CGGGCUGUAGCGCAGCUUGGUAGCGCACAUGUCUGGGGGACAAGGGGUCGCAGGUUCAAAUACUGUCAGCCCGA